CUGGCUUAUUAGUUGAGAUGGUGUCUUGCUAACUUUUUGUGUGGGCUGGCCUUGAACCACGAUCCUCCUGAUCUCUGCCUCCUGAAUAGCUGGGAUUUCAAGUGUCAUCCACUGUGCCUGACCUUCAAUGGUUUUUAUGUGAUGAUGAAAUAAUUAUCCAAAUGCUAAAUCCUAACUAUCAAAUGAUCAUUGAUUGAAGUUAUAGAUAACUGAGAGCAAGGUUUACAUAAAUACACAUCCUUAUAAUGAGCAAGCUACUUUAUCACAGAUCUUCUACUUGAAUGCUAAUUUUUCUCUGACUUAAAAAAAGCUGUUAAUUUUCCCCUCUCACUUGUGAUACUUUGGGGUUUUUAAGGCCUUCUCUGAUCUCAUGCCUCACUUACAUGCAGCUCCUGAUGAGGCAGGACUUCUCAUGUGUCUGACUUUAUUCUGAAGCCUGAGAGAAGGCUGAUUGACCAGCUGCCCUGAGCUCCUGUGGAUUCUCAGUUCUAUUCCUCUACACCAGAGAGAAGAAUCACUUCCUCUAUCAUGCUGGGACCCAGAGUGGAGAGCAAGAAAAAUGUAACUCACAAAGCUGGCUGGAAUUUGGCUCCUUGAGAUAGUGAACAUUCCCAGCCUCAGGACUAUAUGUCUAAGCCAGGGCGUCCCAGCAGGAUCCUGCAGGCUCCAUCUCUAACGUGUAUGGCACCUUGUGUAGACCUGAAAAGCCACUUCUUCCUUAAGAAAAAUGAAGAAGCUAAGGCCAGGCAGGCUCCAGGAUGUGUGGAUUUAUCUGAUCAAGGACCCAGGCUCUUUCCUGCCCUGCACUCAUGCUCCUGGAAUUUGCUCCUUGUCAUCUGGGAUCGUCCCUGAAGGUUUUGAAGCAGGGCAUGUCACUCCCCCUCAGUGCCUCAGUGGCCUUGAAGACUGGUCUACUCUAUUGAACUCCUGAGUUUGUUGUAUGUCUUGUCAUCCCCAAAGCCUGAGGGCUAGCCUCACUGACUCAAAUCUGUGUUCCAGAGAGGCUAAUGGAGUUGCUGAGACCCCCAGGACUGCAUAUUUUUGAUGAACGAUGCAAAAGGGGAAUGUGCAAGCAACAGGAAAAAUGUCUUGAUUAACGGGUGAGCUGAGUGAACCAGGUAGUGAGACCCUAAGCACAGCAUCGGGGCCUUCCUGACUUGGAAAUGCAGAAGAUGAGCUUUCGUACAUCUACUGAGCACCUGGGAAGCCUGCUGCUUUGCUUGUUCCUGAGGAUAAAACACUGACAAACCAGUCCCUGACCAAGGGACUGACUCAGAGUCCUGAUAAGAAAGAGAGACAAGAAAACUAGCAAUUAUAGUGCACUAGGGUAAGUGAAAUGAGGUCUAGCAUGCACUCGUGGCCUAACGUACCACUAAUGAGUCUGGAAAUGUUGUUCAAGAAGGAUUUGUCAGGGCCAGGCGUGGUGGUUCACACCUAUAAUUCCAGCUAAUGGGGAGGAUUGUGGUUCAAAGCCAGCCC